UACGGAAGGCAGCAGUGGGGAAUAUUGCACAAUGGGCGAAAGCCUGAUGCAGCUAUGCCGCGUGUAUGAAGAAGGCCUUAGGGUUGUAAAGUACUUUCAUCGGGGAGGAAAAACAAAACUAAUAAUUUUAUUUCUUGACGUUACCCGAAAAAGAAGCACCGGCUAACUCCGUGCCAGCAGCCGCGGUAAUACGGAGGGUGCUAGCGUUAAUCAGAAUUACUGGGCGUAAAGAGCACGUAGGUGGUUUUUUUAAGUCAGAUGUGAAAUCCCUGGGCUUAACCUAGGAACUGCAUUUUGAAACUGAAAUACUAGAGUAUCGUAGAGGGAGGUAGAAUUCUAGGUGUAGCGGUGAAAUGCGUAGAUAUCUGGAGGAAUACCUGUGGCGAAAGCGGCCUCCUAAACGAAUACUGACACUGAGGUGCGAAAGCGUGGGGAGCAAACGGAGUAUAGAC
rnacentral:rRNA from 1 species